GCUGUGGAUCAAAGCUCUCCUGCCAGGAGCCAGAUCCAGCAGCAGCAGCCUCCCAAACGAGCUCACACUCCUGUCAUGGAGCUGUGAGCCCGUCCUCGGAGGUUUUUUCCAGACAUUCCCAGAACCAAGGACUGGCCUGGGGUUGGAAGGGACACUGACACCUCCAACCUGGCCUUGGGCACUGCCAGGGUCGGGCAGCCACAGCUGCUCUGGGAAAUCCAUUCCAGAGCCUCCCCAACCUCGCAGGGAAGGGUUUUUCCCUGAUUUCCAAGCUGAUCCUCCUCUCUGGCAGACCUCUCUGGAGCCAGGCCAGCCUCAGAACGCCGGGAAUGACAAAUGAUGCCUUUUCCUGGGACCGCGGGAGAAGCAGCCACACGUGCUCAGAGCCUGUGGAGGGGACAGCAGAGCAUUUCAAGCUGUGCCUGCAGCCUCUGCCAUGGCAACGGGGAGAAAUCCAGCCCUCAUUACCCAAGUCAAAAUAAAAGCAAGAAGCCCUAAUGAGCUGCUCAAGUUGCCAAAUGGAACAGAAGCUCUGAAGAGAUACCACAGAGUGAGAGCAAUUUUAAAAAUAAAGCUUUUGGGUUAAGGCUUAAAGGAAAAGAGGCACCAGGCUUGGAAAUCUGGAUGCUGAGAUUCUUCCAAGCAUCCCCAUUUCCUAUUUCUAUCUGAUUAAAAAACUGAGUUCAAAAGAAAAGCAGAACACAAC